AUUUCGGGGUAGGUAUAUCAUAAUCACUUUUGGGUAUUUGCAGU
rnacentral:antisense_RNA from 1 species